UCGUUUUAAUACCAAAAUGAUGAACGUGAAGGCGAAGAAAAGGAAAUGCGCAAUAUAAUUAGUCCAUGAUAUCACAAACGACGAGUUGUACGUAUGUAAAUGAGGAAUCUGGACAGGCUGAAAGGGAAGUUUACAAAAUGGUGUCUUGUUGAAGGAAUUCACGAUAGUGGAUAAAGCAGAAGAAAUGGCGAAUCUGGGCGGUGCCUUGGCAGUCGGUGUUGGAACCGCCCUUGGUCGAUUUGCCCGCACCUCGAAAAUGAAAAACAAGUAGCUUGAAAUGGAUCGACAUUAUAUGCACGUUGUUCAAUUAAAAACUUGGUAUUUUUGUUCAAAAGUAGAAAGAAACAAUGUUUAGUAAUCAUUACAAAACAAUGAUUUAUAGAUGGACGACACGAAGAGCACCACCAAUAGAGUAGGAAUAACGUUGGUGUACGUUUUUGUUGUCACUUUACUAGUUCGUAUUGGAGGAUGUGACCUAGAUUUGAUUAGAACACUUGGUCAUAUUAUCUUUAAACUGUUUCUAGAAUCUCUAUACAAAUCUAUUUGUGUUCAUAAUAUGGUCUAAAUUUUGAGUUAGAAUUAAAGCUUUCAUAUUAAGGUUAAACACAUUUUCAGUUUUCUCUAUGUUUUUAAGGUGUUCCACUAUGAUAAAGACACCUUCCGGUGCAAAAUUGAAGGAAGUACAAACGCUUCCGGUUUUACAUUGCUUGUAAAUAAUUCUGUGUAUCCGGGGUAUGCUAGACGCGGAACGUGUCAAAGCGGUUAUCAAUACAAUAAUAUCAGAUCGAGGCAACCUAUACCUGCCUAAAAACACCUGGUUUUGACAUACUCAGUUUUUCUACUUACUUUAGUGAUUGUAAUUGUACUCGUAUAUUUAUGUCUUGACACGGAAACAUUUUAUGAAUUGCCUAAUUGGCAUCAACAUAAUAGUGAUAUAUUCGAGCCAAGUAUCAUAUUCAUAAUGCACCAUGCAUUUUAAUGACUUAUAUAUAAUUCCAUAUAAACAUUCCCACAAAUAACUUCAUUAUAGUUAAGUCCAUUUUUAACAGAACUGACAUGUUCGUUGAAAAGGAAUACAAAUAACUAGUGAAGUUUUAACGUGUCUAAACACUGUUUCAUACUGUAUAAUUGGAUGAGGAUACUGAAAUUGAUGUUUGUUCGAUCGGAAGGUUGAUUUGUAUCUUUUUGUACAUUUUAAGAACGAAAUACUGGAAGGAUAUUUCAAAACUUAAUGUGUAGUUUUUCCAUAGUCCAUUGUUGAUGUGCAUGGUCAAUUUAGAGUCUGUUCAGGAAAACGAUAUGGACGAUAUUUUUUGCACUUCAAACUUGUUUUUUCAUCAUUUUGAGAAGUUCUUGCAGGAUAUUUCUCAAACAAUAUGUGUAGGACCUCAUUUCCCUUAUUAUUCAUAGUUAUUUCAGGACUGAUUUGAAAAACAGAAAGGUUGACAAGGUUGGAUCGUUGAUGAAGACCGUUAUCGCUAUUUCUCAUAAAGCUCUUAAUUGCCUUUUUUCAGAUUAUUUUUACUGGUUCUCCCUGUGCCCAACUGACUAAGAUGAGCAGAAAAGAUAGAAAAGAAGAGAAACAUCAACAGUCUUGCAUAGAUCCAAUAAAGCUCAUUUGAUGUUUGUUCACUCUUAGAAGUGCUUGCUCAAUAAGAAAUUCAAUUUGUCUGGUUUUAUCUUUUAUAAGGACAAAAGUGUUUCAAUAGGAAAACAUUAAAAUUGACUCCAACUUCUA